GACGAACGCUGGCGGCGUGCCUAAUACAUGCAAGUCGAACGAGUGGCGGACGGGUGAGUAAUGUCUGGGAAACUGCCUGAUGGAGGGGGAUAACUACUGGAAACGGUAGCUAAUACCGCAUACCAUCGGAUGUGCCCAGAUGGAAUUAGCUAGUAGGUGGGGUAACGGCGCACCUAGGCGACGAUCCCUAGCUGGUCUGAGAGGAUGACCAGCCACACUGGAACUGGGAAACGGUCCAGACUCCUACGGGAGGCAGCAGUGGGGAAUAUUGCACGAUGGGGGUAAUCCUGAUGCAGCCGUGCCGCGUGGAUGAAGAAGGCCGUCGGGUUGUAGAGUACUGUCAGAGGGGAGGCGUUACCCGCAGAAGAGGCACCGGCUAACUCCGUGCCAGCAGCCGCGGUAAUUG
rnacentral:rRNA from 1 species